rnacentral:lncRNA from 1 species
GGAGGACACAAUUUACAGAUUGUAUAGGAUUUAAACUUGUAAUGAGUAAAAGUGUCACUGCUUGAAUUUUUUCAGAGUCAGGAAGCUCAUCAUAUUCUGUAGCAGACUAUACUAUUUUUUAGACAUUUUCAAUAGUUAAAAACUCAUUUUUAUAAAGAAAACAAUUGGCCUUUUAAUGUAAUUUGAACUUUGUGUUUUUUGACUAACAUUCAAUGUUUCUAAUUGUCAUAAGGAAUUUUUCAAGUGAUUACCACUUCGUUUAUUUUCAUGUUAAAUACUCCAUUUCUUUUAACCAAAGUGGGUAGUUCAUAGAGCCCAAUUAAUUUUAAUAAUUUAUGUUAUUUAAUUUUACUAAUUUAAUUUAAUAUAAACAACUAUUAGAAUCAUCUUCUGCUAUGGUUUGAACAUAUCCUAUCUAAAAUGUAGUUGUUGCUAAUAUAAUGAUAUUAAUGUGUGGGCCCUUUAAGAGGGAUUAGACCAUGAUGACUUCUUUCACAUGAAUGGGAUUAAGGCCCUUAUAAAAGAGGCUUUACACAGUGUUUGACUUUCUUACCCUUCCACCAUCUUCCUUAUGAGGGCACAAUGUUGCUUCCCGCUGGAAGACACAGCAAUAAGGCACUAUUGUGGAAGCUCAGAAAGCAACUCAUCACCCAGCCUCACCAGCCAGCAUCUUGAUUUUGGAGAACGACAAUCUUCAAGGAAUGAGAAACUCCAGUCACACAGGGAUCUAAGGAGACAACAUGUUGAUGAAAUGCUACUGCCUUUUCCUCAAAUCAAAAUCCCAUUCAAAGGAAAAACACCCUUUUGUCAUUGAAAUACAGUGAUCAUGUGAUUUGCAGAUGUGUUAGAGUCUUUUGGCUAAAUUCUGGAAAAUUUGUAAAAACUCACUAAAUCAUACACUUGUAUAUGUAGAAAAGUUGUAAUUAUACCUUCAUAAAAUCAAUAAACUCACAUACCUCUCUCCAUGUGGUUUCUCAAAUGUGUAGUUCUCAAAUGUGUAAUUCUCAAAUGAAUUAUCAUUUGAGAAGGCAUUACAUUCAAAUUCAGACUCCCAAAGUCAUUCAGACUCCCGGAUUAUCCUGCAUAAAUGCUCAAAAUUGUUUCCCAGCUGGGCAGAGUUGAGCUCAAGACAAAAAUUAAAAAGGUUAUUACCAAAAUACUUGACCUAACUGUAUAUUGGAAUAUUUAGUCAAAUAUUGGGGUAACAAUCAAAAAAGCAUGUAUAAUUGACUUCAACAUUUGGACAAUAAAUUUUUUAAAGUGGAUAAAAAUGCAUGACAUGGAAGGAGCAGCCCAAAAGGAAGAUGCUCAGAUAAACCCACAUAGUAUAUGUAAGAUUACCUGUGUUGAAGAAAUUUUCAAGAUGGUGAUUGUGACAAUGUGGACAGACUGUGCAUUUCAUUGUCUCUAUUUUCUCUUGCUUUUUUAUUUUUAUUUUUAAGAGGUUCUUCUUUCUCUCUGGUGAAUUCUCACUUAUUCUUCACAAGAACUUAAAUUUCAUUGUAUCUAUGAAGGUCAACUCUUAUAGAAUGUUUGUCUCCUCUAGCUCCUUAG